rnacentral:rRNA from 1 species
UACGUAGGGUGCAAGCGUUAAUCGGAAUUACUGGGCGUAAAGCGUGCGCAGGCGGUGAUGUAAGACAGGUGUGAAAUCCCCGGGCUUAACCCUGGGAACUGCAUUUGUGACUGCAUCGCUGGAGUGCGGCAGAGGGGGAUGGAAUUCCGCGUGUAGCAGUGAAAUGCGUAGAUAUGCGGAGGAACACCGAUGGCGAAGGCAAUCCCCUGGGCCUGCACUGACGCUCAUGCACGGAAAGCGUGGGGAGCAAACAGG